GGCGCGCGAUACAGGGUGACAGCCCCGUACACAAAAAUGCACAUGCUGUGAGCUCGAUGAGUAGGGCGGGACACGUGGUAUCCUGUCUGAAUAUGGGGGGACCAUCCUCCAAGGCUAAAUACUCCUGACUGACCGAUAGUGAACCAGUACCGUGAGGGAAAGGCGAAAAGAACCCCGGCGAGGGGAGUGAAAAAGAACCUGAAACCGUGUACGUACAAGCAGUGGGAGCCUCUUUAUGGGGUGACUGCGUACCUUUUGUAUAAUGGGUCAGCGACUUAUAUUCUGUAGCAAGGUUAACCGAAUAGGGGAGCCGAAGGGAAACCGAGUCUUAACUGGGCGUUAAGUUGCAGGGUAUAGACCCGAAACCCGGUGAUCUAGCCAUGGGCAGGUUGAAGGUUGGGUAACACUAACUGGAGGACCGAACCGACUAAUGUUGAAAAAUUAGCGGAUGACUUGUGGCUGGGGGUGAAAGGCCAAUCAAACCGGGAGAUAGCUGGUUCUCCCCGAAAGCUAUUUAGGUAGCGCCUCGUGAAUUCAUCUCCGGGGGUAGAGCACUGUUUCGGCAAGGGGGUCAUCCCGACUUACCAACCCGAUGCAAACUGCGAAUACCGGAGAAUGUUAUCACGGGAGACACACGGCGGGUGCUAACGUCCGUCGUGAAGAGGGAAACAACCCAGACCGCCAGCUAAGGUCCCAAAGUCAUGGUUAAGUGGGAAACGAUGUGGGAAGGCCCAGACAGCCAGGAUGUUGGCUUAGAAGCAGCCAUCAUUUAAAGAAAGCGUAAUAGCUCACUGGUCGAGUCGGCCUGCGCGGAAGAUGUAACGGGGCUAAACCAUGCACCGAAGCUGCGGCAGCGACACUAAGUGUUGUUGGGUAGGGGAGCGUUCUGUAAGCCUGUGAAGGUGUACUGUGAGGUAUGCUGGAGGUAUCAGAAGUGCGAAUGCUGACAUAAGUAACGAUAAAGCGGGUGAAAAGCCCGCUCGCCGGAAGACCAAGGGUUCCUGUCCAACGUUAAUCGGGGCAGGGUGAGUCGACCCCUAAGGCGAGGCCGAAAGGCGUAGUCGAUGGGAAACAGGUUAAUAUUCCUGUACUUGGUGUUACUGCGAAGGGGGGACGGAGAAGGCUAUGUUGGCCGGGCGACGGUUGUCCCGGUUUAAGCGUGUAGGCUGGUUUUCCAGGCAAAUCCGGAAAAUCAAGGCUGAGGCGUGAUGACGAGGCACUACGGUGCUGAAGCAACAAAUGCCCUGCUUCCAGGAAAAGCCUCUAAGCAUCAGGUAACAUCAAAUCGUACCCCAAACCGACACAGGUGGUCAGGUAGAGAAUACCAAGGCGCUUGAGAGAACUCGGGUGAAGGAACUAGGCAAAAUGGUGCCGUAACUUCGGGAGAAGGCACGCUGAUAUGUAGGUGAAGCGACUUGCUCGUGGAGCUGAAAUCAGUCGAAGAUACCAGCUGGCUGCAACUGUUUAUUAAAAACACAGCACUGUGCAAACACGAAAGUGGACGUAUACGGUGUGACGCCUGCCCGGUGCCGGAAGGUUAAUUGAUGGGGUUAGCGCAAGCGAAGCUCUUGAUCGAAGCCCCGGUAAACGGCGGCCGUAACUAUAACGGUCCUAAGGUAGCGAAAUUCCUUGUCGGGUAAGUUCCGACCUGCACGAAUGGCGUAAUGAUGGCCAGGCUGUCUCCACCCGAGACUCAGUGAAAUUGAACUCGCUGUGAAGAUGCAGUGU
rnacentral:rRNA from 1 species